rnacentral:rRNA from 1 species
GACGAACGCUGGCGGCGUGCUUAACACAUGCAAGUCGAACGGAAAGGCCCUGCUUUUGUGGGGUGCUCGAGUGGCGAACGGGUGAGUAACACGUGAGUAACCUGCCCUUGACUUUGGGAUAACUUCAGGAAACUGGGGCUAAUACCGGAUAGGAGCUCCUGCUGCAUGGUGGGGGUUGGAAAGUUUCGGCGGUUGGGGAUGGACUCGCGGCUUAUCAGCUUGUUGGUGGGGUAGUGGCUUACCAAGGCUUUGACGGGUAGCCGGCCUGAGAGGGUGACCGGCCACAUUGGGACUGAGAUACGGCCCAGACUCCUACGGGAGGCAGCAGUGGGGAAUAUUGCACAAUGGGCGCAAGCCUGAUGCAGCAACGCCGCGUGCGGGAUGACGGCCUUCGGGUUGUAAACCGCUGUCGCCUGUGACGAAGCGUGAGUGACGGUAAUGGGUAAAGAAGCACCGGCUAACUACGUG